AUUGAACGCUAGCGGGAUGCUUUACACAUGCAAGUCGAACGGCAGCGCGGACUUCGGUCUGGCGGCGAGUGGCGAACGGGUGAGUAAUGUAUCGGAACGUGCCCAGUAGCGGGGGAUAACUACGCGAAAGCGUAGCUAAUACCGCAUACGCCCUACGGGGGAAAGCAGGGGAUCGUAAGACCUUGCACUAUUGGAGCGGCCGAUAUCGGAUUAGCUAGUUGGUGAGGUAACGGCUCACCAAGGCGACGAUCCGUAGCUGGUUUGAGAGGACGACCAGCCACACUGGGACUGAGACACGGCCCAGACUCCUACGGGAGGCAGCAGUGGGGAAUUUUGGACAAUGGGGGCAACCCUGAUCCAGCCAUCCCGCGUGUACGAUGAAGGCCUUCGGGUUGUAAAGCACUUUUGGCAGGAAAGAAACGUCGCGGGCUAAUACCCCGUGGAACUGACGGUACCUGCAGAAUAAGCACCGGCUAACUACGUG
rnacentral:rRNA from 1 species